UAGGGAAUCUUCGGCAAUGGGGGCAACCCUGACCGAGCAACGCCGCGUGAGUGAAGAAGGUUUUCGGAUCGUAAAGCUCUGUUGUAAGUCAAGAACGAGUGUGAGAGUGGAAAGUUCACACUGUGACGGUAGCUUACCAGAAAGGGACGGCUAACUACGUGCCAGCAGCCGCGGUAAUACGUAGGUCCCGAGCGUUGUCCGGAUUUAUUGGGCGUAAAGUGAGCGCAGGCGGUCUGAUAAGUCUGAAGUUAAAGGCUGUGGCUCAACCAUAGUUCGCUUUGGAAACUGUCAAACUUGAGUGCAGAAGGGGAGAGUGGAAUUCCAUGUGUAGCGGUGAAAUGCGUAGAUAUAUGGAGGAACACCGGUGGCGAAAGCGGCUCUCUGGUCUGUAACUGACGCUGAGGCUCGAAAGCGUGGGGAGCGAACAGGAUUAGAUACCCUGGUAGUCCACGCCGUAAACGAUGAGUGCUAGGUGUUGGAUCCUUUCCGGGAUUCAGUGCCGCAGCUAACGCAUUAAGCACUCCGCCUGGGGAGUACGACCGCAAGGUUG
rnacentral:rRNA from 1 species